rfam:Sus scrofa chromosome 2.
GCUCUGGUGGCCUAGCAGUUAAGGAUUCAGCACUGUCACUGCUGUGGCUCAGGUUCAAUCCCCGGCCAGGGAA